GAGUGCGGGAGUUCGUCGCAUGCGCAUGUCGUGGAACCUACUCUCCACGAGUUUUUAUUGUUGUUGCUUUUGUACCCCCUCGGGAUCCCUAGCGGAGGCAGUGACUCUCUUUCCCCCCAAGACGUUGUUCCCUGUUUGAAGGUGUUCUUCCUAAUGUUUCCUAGGCUGCUGAAUUCAGCUCUCUAAAAAAUGCGGAAUGCUAACCAUGACUCCCAGGACUGCUUUGGAUGCUGUGUGGAGAGUAGACAAUGGAGCUAAGGGCAAAAGGGAGAUCAGUCAGAAGUUAUUGCUGGCUUGGACCCAGGCAAUAAUAGGUGGAGAGGUAAGUGGACAUAUUUUAGACAUAUUUUAAAGAAAGCCAACCAAAUUUGCUGACAUUGAAUAUGGAGUGUGGGAGUAUCAAUCACUGCCAUGGGUAUGAAAAUCUUAAUAAACAGAAUUGGAACUCACUAGAAGCAGAGUGUACUCUGAGAGAAACAUUAGAAAAACAGUUACUUGUUCCUGUGGUUCAGAAAUAAGGACGAGUCCUAAAGCGUUGAUAGUGUGCAGGGAGAAGAAAGAGUGAUGAAACUUAAGUGAGAGCACAAUGGGGUUUUGUUACACAUCAGGGUAUGAAGGCGGGAGCUGAAGGAGGAAGGGGGAGCCAAAGAAGUGCCAGGUUUCUGCCUAAGGCUUACCUCAGAGAAGGACAAAAGGAUAUUAGCAUCUUGUUAAUAAAGGCAACUCUUCACACCUGGAGUUUUCCCAGAGCCUGAAGUACGGGGACACCUUUCACAUGUGCGGAGGAAAGAAUCCUAGAAUUUUAUAGUUGAAAAAGAAUUCUGAGAUUGCCUAGGCUCACCUCAUCAACAUCAAAAAGGAACGAGAAAAAUUA
rnacentral:lncRNA from 1 species